GCCGUAAGUGUGAUUAAGAAUUAAAAUAACUAUGUAUGUCUUUAUGUAAUUGAGGCUAUAAGGUCAUAUUUCUAAUCAAUGUCCUGCUACUCAAUUUGGCAACCAACACAGGAUUUGGAGUUUAGAGGACUUCACUUCUACUCGAUUCUUCAGCAACAGCUGCAUUUUUUGUUUGGUUUUUAUUUCAGCGACCAUGUGAAUACACAUUAAGAAAAUCCAGGAAAUGGAAAUACAUAUUAAAGCAAGCCAACAACAGCGACCUCACAAUGAAGCUGGCAAGUGCAGUAGUUCAAACACCACGAGCCUGACAACCUUGGAGACUAAGACGAUAACUUAACCAGUCUAUCUGUCUUCUCUAACAUCCCUGAAGAACAAUCUUCAUAAAUUCCGUACUCAUCUUCAUCUCUGCUCACAACAUCAUAAGUGACAGCAUUUGAUGUCUUUCAUAUAGAAUUGUUGCCCGACACAAUGCGGGGAGUGAGGCUAGAUACAGCCUUAGCCAUUGCAAAAUCAUCAGUCGGAGCAUCGAACUCGGAAUGAAGGAGCCUUAAUUAUCUUGCUUUGGCCUUCAAGAACUUUUACCACUUCAGACAUGGUUGGCCUCAGUGUAGGGGAUGGAUUACUGCACAGCAUUGCCAGGUCUAAGAUCAUCAUUGCUUGUUUCACUGAGUAAUCAUACCCCAAGACUGGAUCAACUAGCGACAAUAGUUCACCCUUUUCUUGCAAAACAUAAGCCAAAUCAAGUAGAUAGACACUCUCAUCGUUUGGCCUGUAACUGGUGCUAUUCCUCCCACUCAUAACCUCAAGUGCAACCACUCCAAAGCUGUAAACAUCUGCU
rnacentral:misc_RNA from 1 species